CACGUAGGGCGCGAGCGUUGUCCGGAAUUAUUGGGCGUAAAGAGCUCGUAGGCGGCCUGUUGCGUCCGCUGUGAAAGCCCGGAGCUCAACUCCGGGUCGGCCGUCGAUACUUCCGGGCUUGAGCACUGUAGAGGCAGAUGGAAUUCCGGGUGUAGCGGUGGAAUGCGUAGAGAUCCGGAAGAACACCGGUGGCGAAGGCGGUCUGCUGGGCAGUUGCUGACGCUGAUGCGCGACAGCGUGGGGAGCAAACAGG
rnacentral:rRNA from 1 species